CCAAACUUGGUCAUUUAGAGGAAGUAAAAGUCGUAACAAGGUCUCCGUAGGUGAACCUGCGGAGGGAUCAUUACCGAGCGUCCCGGCCCUCCAGGGCCGCGGCCUCACCAUCCUUUGCUUAAACCCCCCUUGCGGGGCCUCUCCUCCGGCCGACGGCCCGAGAGAGGGGCCCUUGGACUCGGCCGCCCGGGCAGACCUCCCCCGGGAAACAGGGGGCGCCCGCCCUCCGCUCCGGUGGCCGAGCCCGAACCCAAACCUUAAAAACGUGUCUUCUCGGCCCAGCCGAACCAAACACAACCUGCAACGAUGGAUCUCUUGGCUCUGGCAUCGAUGAAGAACGCAGC
rnacentral:misc_RNA from 1 species